rnacentral:rRNA from 1 species
UGGGGAAUAUUGCACAAUGGGGGAAACCCUGAUGCAGCCAUGCCGCGUGUGUGAAGAAGGCCUUCGGGUUGUAAAGCACUUUCAGCGAGGAGGAAAGGUUGAUGCCUAAUACGCAUCAGCUGUGACGUUACUCGCAGAAGAAGCACCGGCUAACUCCGUGCCAGCAGCCGCGGUAAUACGGAGGGUGCAAGCGUUAAUCGGAAUUACUGGGCGUAAAGCGCACGCAGGCGGUUGGAUAAGUUAGAUGUGAAAGCCCCGGGCUCAACCUGGGAAUUGCAUUUAAAACUGUCCAGCUAGAGUCUUGUAGAGGGGGGUAGAAUUCCAGGUGUAGCGGUGAAAUGCGUAGAGAUCUGGAGGAAUACCGGUGGCGAAGGCGGCCCCCUGGACAAAGACUGACGCUCAGGUGCGAAAGCGUGGGGAGCAAACAGG